GACGAAGGGGGCAAGCGUUGUUCGGAAUCAUUGGGCGUAAAGGGCGCGUAGGCGGCCGUACCAGUCUGGGGUGAAAGCCCUCGGCUCAACCGAGGAAUUGCCUUGGAAACUGUACGGCUUGAGUAUUGGAGAGGAAAGCGGAAUUCCCAGUGUAGCGGUGAAAUGCGUAGAUAUUGGGAGGAACACCUGUGGCGAAGGCGGCUUUCUGGACAAUCACGUGACGCUGAGGCGCGAAAGCCAGGGGAGCAAA
rnacentral:rRNA from 1 species